rnacentral:ncRNA from 1 species
GAAAGCACAGUACGAUGAAAGUUGUAAGCUGUGUUCGGGGGGGGGGGGGGGUUAUUAUCUAUCGUUGGCUUCUAUGGUAGAAUAAGUCGGGGAACCUGAGAGGCGGUAGUUUACCCUAC